UUCAUUCUGUGUACCUGGCUGACUCAAUGUCCCCAUAGCAAAUAAUGGCAAAAAUACAAAAAACUAAAAUAUUAUUAACUUAAUAAAAUCAUCCACUACAUAAUCAUUCAUUAUCUUUACAAUUAACCAUCUAAAGCUACCACAAUUCUUCAAUCAAAGUAUAUAUCUACAUAUAUAGAGAGAGUACACUUCAUAAUUUUGUCUCUAAACUACAGGGAGAGAAUGCUUGCACUUCUCCAACAUGCUCACUAUCAAAUCUUCCUGCAAUUACACAAGAAUUCGUAUUGAUUGCUAUUAUAUUAUUUAUAAUUCAUGAACAUGUACUAGAACUACACAACAAAAUAAUCUGGCCAGAAGGAAAAUUGCACGGAUAGUGUUAUAUGACUCUUGGCAUUUCUACGUAGAGAAUCCCUGCCCUGUUUUCCACAUCGUUAUUUCCUGUAAGGUGCCUUCUUUCCCAAAAGCGGAAGCUAGUUCAUCAUAACCUUAAGUGGUCACAUGAUGAGCGAUAAUACACCUGGAGGUAAUUCUUAAAAUGUCACUCAGCAAUCACUAAAAAUGUUGUGUUACUAUAGUUACAUCUUGCAGAUCAACACAAAGGCUACCCAUAAAAUCCAUGAACCCAUGGAAGAGUUCUUNNNNN
rnacentral:lncRNA from 1 species